UACGGAGUGUGCAAGCGUUAUUCGGAAUUAUUGGGCGUAAAGGGCGCGUAGGCGGCUUUAUAAGUCUGAUGUGAAAGCCCGUGGCUUAACUCCGGAAGUGCAUUGGAUACUGUAAGGCUUGAGUAUGGGAGAGGGUAGCGGAAUUCCUGGUGUAGAGGUGAAAUUCGUAGAUAUCAGGAGGAACACCGGUGGCGAAGGCGGCUACCUGGACCAAUACUGACGCUGAGGCGAGAAGGCGUGGGGAGCAAACAGG
rnacentral:rRNA from 1 species